CCGUCCCCUCCCACUCCCCAUCCCCUCCUUCCUCCUUCGUUCCUUCCUUGACCCCCGACUCCUCCACCUUUGCCGACGCGUCGCCGGGGACCCGAGCCACCGCACCACGCUAGCCCCUCCAUCCUACCUCCACCGGCCUGUCCCGACCCCUUCCAUUAUCAACCGCCGCCGCGCCGCUCAGACCCGAGCAGCGGUAUGCAACUACCUGCGCUACCCCAGCGAUCCCGCCGCCCUCCGGGCAGACGGCAGCGUUACUCCGCGCCGGAUCAGCGCCACCCCGUGCAGGAUCCGCACCGCCAGCAUCGGCCGGAGGGGGCGCGGACCAAGCAGGGGCUGGCCUCGGCUACGGCGCUGGGCCUGUGCGGACUCCGGGCCAUCGCCCCAGAUGCGGGGGGUCCGAUUGGCGCAUGGCACGCUGUCGAGGAUAUCUGGGGUGAAAUGUUUCACGGGAACCUCUGGAAGUGCGGCAAGGGACCUCAACAAGCGCGUCCUCCACACCAAUACCGUCCCAUGGGCCAUGGCCAGACACCCAAUUCGCUCUCGACAUCCAGCAACUAUCUCCUUUUCUGCUCGAUUUGAUCUGCUCCAUCAUGGUCGACGGAUGCUGUUUUUAGAGACGAACGCUUGAUCAAGGCUGCAGCCUGCAGGGGUAUGUGCUGCUCGAGAAGGUGGAGUGUGCUCCGGCAGUGGAAGAAUUCGAGAAGUGUUGGCCAAUUUACGGAGGGCGACAGUGAGGGAUGCACAAACAAGCUGUGGCGAGUGGGAGAGCCAAGGGAACAACCGGACAAGUUCAACGCUGCAAGAGGGAUGUAGAAGGAACCAAAAGCGGAAGCUAGCACAGAGACAUCAUGUUCGUUUGUCUGCAUGAGGGCCUCACUAAAUUCUAAAGUCAAAGCAACAAUUUUGAGGUUUUGUGCACACCCAAGCAAGAAGAUUCAACGCCCACUUUCAGAUAAGCUUCGCACAAAGAUAUCCAACUUUUUUGUUUCAGCAAAAUAAGUGGAGUUGCUUCAAACAUACUCCCUCCGUCCCAAAAUUCUUGUCUUAGAUUUGUCUAGAUACGAAUGUAUCUAAUACUAAAACGUGACUUAAUACAUCCAUAUUUAGACAAAUCUAAGACAAGAAUUUUGGGACGGAGGGAGUACAAGAGUAGCUUACUGCCAAUAGUGACUUUUUCUUAAACAAAUCCUAGAGCUUGGAUGUUUUUUUGUUUUCUCAAAACAGUCCUAGUAUAAAAAGCAACUUAACAAAAGCAUCAAGGGGUUUCUAUGGAUGUACAACAACCAGUAGUUGGAGAAAGGGUCAAAGGAAAACAAAACAAUUUUCAUGUACUGACAGGACUAGCUUUUUGUCAAUACUUGAUUUGCUUAAAAACCUGCUAUAGUUGCUCACUAAUUCGUUUUUACCGUUUCUUGCAAUUCGUGUAGUAAAAUCAAUACUAGAUGCUCAUGCCGGAAGAAACAAGGGGAAAAUAUAGAAAAUUAGUUGCAAUCAGGAUGAACAAGGCUAUUGUAAAAGAGAAGGCGUCUGAGAGGGCACAUCAAGAUAGAAGCUCACCUCUCAGGUAUAUGGCCACCAAAACGGGGGCAACAAUUGUGGCAAUGGAGGAGAGGACAUAUGGAGAAGGGGAGGUCAAGGGGGAGGUUUGGGGGUCUGCUACUGGGAAGGGGAAGGAGGAUUUGGUGCGUCGGCGUGAGGCUAAUGCUAAUGUCAGUAGGGGGAGCAGAAGUUAUGAUUGUGACAGACUCCCCCCUGGGGCCAUGUGCGUGAGGGGACCAUUUAUUUCCUUUUUGGGUUUGCCAGCUGGAUCUGGAAGAGGUCCAUUACCAAUAUUAGGGUGUGUGCUCUGGACCGCUAGCCAGCCAACGGUUGCUGGCUAGUCGCGUCCUUAACAAAAACAUGGGCUGGUUUCCUAAAUAAAGGACACACCCAAUACCUUGAAAUAGAAAUACAAACUAGGGCGAGAGGACGACGGAGAUACCCAGUCGCCGUGAUGGCUCUCCACACA